GGAACCGGGCACGAGGCGAGGGGUGCUAUCUGUGGUUGAGGACACGGCAAAUGGAACUGUCUCACACAGAAAUCGCACCCAUCUCCUCGGCCCGCCUU
rnacentral:pre_miRNA from 1 species